rnacentral:misc_RNA from 1 species
AAGUCGUAACAAGGUUUCCGUAGGUGAACCUGCGGAAGGAUCAUUAACGAAUAAUCCAAUUCAUUACAAACACCUGUGAACCGUCGCCUUUCGGGGCGCUUUUACAAACUCUUGUAUCUAAAAGCAUGUAAUCCGUCGCGCAAGCGAUCAUAACCAAAAUAUAACUUUCAGCAACGGAUCUCUUGGCUCUC